rnacentral:rRNA from 1 species
AGUUGAAGAAGAAAGGGUGGUAGGGUCUUUUCUUAUGUUGGCAUUUCUAGAAUCUUGCUUAUACGCGUCUUUCCCUAGAGGUACCACAUUCUACAUUCAUCAUCGGAUAGUCGGACUUCCAAACCUACUAAAAAGAUGAAUUUCAUUUUGAGUAGGCGAGAGUGGUCACGAGGCGCAAAGAAUUUGCGAAUAAAGGCUCAAAGAAUUUGAGUUGAAUUCUGAUCGCUUUUACGCAAGAAAUGGGGACCACCCUUUAAGCCUAAGUAUUCCUCAAUGAUCGAUAACGUACAAUUACCUUGAGGGAAAGGUGAAAAGAACCCUAUUUAGGGAGUGCAAUAGAGAACUUGAGAUCCGAUGCUUUCAAUCAGCCGAAGGAGUGGCAAGCCUUGACUUGAGAUUCUCUCAAUCAAGCUAUCUCACUCUAACGGCAUACCAUUUGCAUGAUGGCCAGCGAGAAAAAGGGAACUGCGACUUAAGCCAUUAGGUAUAGGCACUUUUAAGAGGUGGAAGAUUCUCGUUAUUCCUAUUUGACUCAAAAUCAAUCGAUCUAGACAUGAGCAGGUUGAAGAGAGCUCUAACAGGCCUUGGAGGAUCGAACCCAUGUGUGUGGCAAAAUAUAAGGAUGACUUGUGGCUAGGGGUGAAAGGCCAACCAAGAUCAAAUAUAGCUAAUUUUUCGCAAAAUCUAUUUCAAUAGAGCGUAUGAUGUUGAUGGCCUGAGGUAGAGCACUCAAUGGGCUAGGGUGGCCCCAUUUUGCCUUACCAACCUUAGGGAAACACAGAAUACAGGCCUAGAUUAUUUGUAAAGACAGACUUUUGGGGUGCUAAGAUCCAAAGUCGAGAGGGAAACAACCCAGAUCGUACGCUAAGGUCCUUAAGCAACCACUUAGUGGAAAAGGAAGUUCUCGAGCGAUGACAACCAGGAGGUGGGCUUGGAAGCAGCCAUCCUUUAAAGAAAGCAUAAUAGCUCCCUGGUCUAGCUCCAUGGCACCAAAAAUGUCUUGGGGCUCAAGUGAUUCACCGAAGGGAUGAGACCUUAAAAGCACGCUUUUUUAAUUGUCAAUAGCGGGACGUUUUGUCAAUCGGAGAAGGUUUUUGGUGACAAGACCUGGAGAUAUCAAAAGUGAGAAUGUUGACAUGAGUAACGAGAAAUCUUGUCAAAAACAAAAUUGCCUGUCAGUGGAAGGCUUUCUGCGUUCAAUCAAUCUACCCAGAAUGAAUCGGUCUCUAAGGAACCCCCAAAAGGGUUAUCGUCAGAUGCAUACACAAAAGUGAUGAAGUAGCUUUGACUAUAGAACAAUGCGUGUCUGUUAAAGCGAAUAGGAUGACUAGGCCGAGGGCAGCCCCUUUUCCCCUCUCUCCUUUCCCACUCUGUAGGAUUCACCUUGAGUCAUCGAAGUCUUUCUGACUCGGCCUAGUCCGAUCGCCCUACACGAUAGACACGACCAAAAGGCGAAAUUCUCAUUUCCGAAUGUGCGAUUUCGUUUUUGAAUUUCUUGUUCAGCCUCACGAGUCUACAAGCCUUUCUCAUUCUAGUGCUCGCCUUUGAGUAGGGGUCCCAAGAGAGCGUACCGCCAUAGUCAUGAGUCUGUUUAUAGUUGCGACUCUUGUCAUAGUGAACAAGGUUUCAAUUUUCAAGACAAAACUUCUUUUUGGGAGGGCGAUCCUCCUAGUGAACUGACCGUACCCCAAACCGACACAGAUGAACAAGUAGAGUAUACUAAGGCGCUUGAGAGAACUAUGUUGAAGGAACUCGACAAAAUGACCCCGUAACUUCGAGCAAAAGGGUGCUCUCUUAUUUUUUCCUUAGGAAAGUCGCACAUACCAGGGGGUAGGGACUAUUUAUUAAAAACACAAGACUCUGCCAAGUGGUAACACAAUGUAUAGAGUCUGACACCUGCUAAUGCUGAAAGGUCGAAAGGAGAAGUGUGAUAAGCUUUGAAUGGAAGCCCUGGUAAACAGAGGCAGUAACUUUAACUGUCCUAAGGUAGUGAAAUUACUUAUCGCAUAAGUAGCGACCUACACAAAUGGUUUCACAACUGCCCCGCUAUCUCCGACAUGGACUGGGUGAAAUUAAUUUUUUCAUGAAGAUGAGAAGUACCAAUAGAACUGAUCUGGUCUUUAAUGUUGGGUGGAAAAAAUGAAAAAUGAGCUUUAAUGUC